CAGUGACUGACUACGGUUCAUACUGUAGGUAAUUAUGUAUAUAUUUCGCUGGUGACCAAGAUGACUGGUGAUGUCACUGUGGAUGAUUGGUGUCGAGAGAUCCUUCGCCAGAACGGAACCCUAACCCUCGUAAAAACAGUCCUGCAAUUACUACAAACACUGAGGAUGAUGGCUUUGAGAUUUUGUUCAGAUACUGGCCCCAAUCUUUCCUGUUGAUACCAUUAAGACGUCACAGCGGAUGGGGAAGAGGAAAGGGUCAGGGAAAGACUUGCUAUUCACCGUGGUCACCUGGCUCUUGCCUGAGAUCAUUUUCACAAGCUUAGCAACCUACACUUAACAGGUCAACUCAACCUAAUUCCAAAGACAGAGACGAUUGGUUUAU